rnacentral:rRNA from 1 species
UAGGGAAUCUUCCACAAUGGACGAAAGUCUGACCGAGCAACGCCGCGUGAGUGAAGAAGGUUUUCGGAUCGUAAAACUCUGUUGGUAGAGAAGAACGUUGGUGAGAGUGGAAAGCUCAUCAAGUGACGGUAACUACCCAGAAAGGGACGGCUAACUACGUGCCGG